rnacentral:misc_RNA from 1 species
UUUUUUUGUUCGCUCAUCAAGAAUAGCUUGAGAAAAUUCCUUGUCCCCUUCCUUAAGUUGCCUUUCCUUUACAGCAGAAAGCAUUUCUUCUUCUUUCUUUAACAUUUCGAGUAGGUCGAAUGCCUUACAGAUGGACAAAGAAAUGGUAGUAAGCCAAGCCUCCCGUUCUUCUUCUCCAUCAUCAUCCGAUAAAUCCUCUUCACCAGCCUCAACUGGAGUUGAUAGGGCAGUAGCUCUAGUUGAACGACCACGUCGCUCUUUCUGCUCCUUUACUUCCAGCAGCUUUGCUUGAGCAGCUCUUU